rnacentral:rRNA from 1 species
UACGGAGGGUGCAAGCGUUGCUCGGAAUUAUUGGGCGUAAAGGGUAGGUAGGUGGUCUCAUUUGUCUGGGGUGAAAGCCUUGAGCUUAACUCAAGAAGUGCCCCAGAAACGGUGAGACUAGAGUUCUGGAGAGGGUCGUGGAAUUCCCGGUGUAGCGGUGAAAUGCGUAGAGAUCGGGAGGAACACCAGAGGCGAAGGCGGCGACCUGGACCAAUACUGACGCUCAUGUGCGAAAGCGUGGGGAGCAAACAGG